rnacentral:rRNA from 1 species
GACGAACGCUGGCGGCGUGCUUAACACAUGCAAGUCGAACGGAAAGGCCCUGCUUUUGUGGGGUGCUCGAGUGGCGAACGGGUGAGUAACACGUGAGUAACCUGCCCUUGACUUUGGGAUAACUUCAGGAAACUGGGGCUAAUACCGGAUAGGAGCUCCUGCUGCAUGGUGGGGGUUGGAAAGUUUCGGCGGUUGGGGAUGGACUCGCGGCUUAUCAGCUUGUUGGUGGGGUAGUGGCUUACCAAGGCUUUGACGGGUAGCCGGCCUGAGAGGGUGACCGGCCACAUUGGGGAUGGGAGGCCGCACAGGCGCCUAGGGGAGGAAGGGGGGGGGAAGAUUGCAGAAAGGGGGGGGGCGUGAAGCAGCACCGCGGGGGGGGGGGUGGGGGCUUUGGGGGUGAAAACCGCUUUCGCCUGUGACGGAGGGGGAGGGGGGGUAAAAGGAAAAAAAGAACCGGCUAACCACG